rnacentral:rRNA from 1 species
UACAGAGGUGGCAAGCGUUGUUCGGAAUCAUUGGGCGUAAAGGGCGCGUAGGUGGCGGGACAAGCGUGCGGUGAAAGCCUGGGGCUCAACCCCGGGUCGGCCGUGCGAACUGUUUUGCUUGAGCACUGUAGAGGCAGGCGGAAUUCCGGGUGUAGCGGUGGAAUGCGUAGAGAUCCGGAAGAACACCGGUGGCGAAGGCGGCCUGCUGGGCAGUAGCUGACACUGAGGCGCGACAGCGUGGGGAGCAAACAGG